AAACGCCCCGUGCAAACGAGGCAACCCCAAACAGCGUCUGUUUCAUCAGCUCAAAAAAAGCCCCAUUCUCUCACGUUCGUGCCGUGACAGAGCUAGGGUUCCCCGCCGCCGCCGUCGCCGCCGCCGUCGCCGUCGCCAUUCCCCGCCGCCGCAGUGCGAGCUCCCCUCCCCUGCUCCGUUCUCGGCCUGGUACAACUCCCACCGUCCCCGAAUCGACCGCGCGCCCACGGGUUGAGCUUGUCCCCGUCGGCCGCCGGUGAUAGGAGCUCUGUGAGCCUCCGUUCCCCGGUCCGCGGUCUACUCCUUCGCGCUGUUCCCUGCCUCCUACUACUCUCUCUGUCACCGAUUCAGCCGGGUGCUCGCGGGUCAAUCUUGUCUCCGUUGGCCUCCGGUGACAGGAUCUCGAGCCGCCGGCGCCUCGCCGUUUCUCGUGGACUUUUGCGGUGCUGUGCGCUCCGGCCCGUGGUGGUGGCGGUGGUGGGUCCAGGAGCCUAGCAGCCACGCGGCCGUCCACACCUGGCGGAGAGGAGAACACGGCGGCGGACGUCCGGUUCGCUUCCUCCUCGGCGGUCGUCCGGCGAGAUGCCGCGCGACCGUGACGAGCCGGCGGCUGUGCGCGUCUACACCGUCUGCGACGAGUCCAAGUACCUCGUCGUCCGGAACGUGCCGGCCCUCGGAUGCGGCGACGAGCUCGGCACCCUGUUCUCGACGUACGGUCCACUGGAAGAGUGCAAGCCCAUGGAUGCCGAGGACUGCGAGGAGUACACCGACGUCUUCUUCAUCAAGUUCUCGCAGGUCAGCAACGCGAGGUUUGCGAAGAGAAAGUUGGAUGAGACUGCAUUUCUUGGCAACCGGCUGCAGGUGUCAUAUGCACCUCAGUUUGAGAGUGUUGAGGAUACUAAAGAGAAACUGGAAGUCAGGAGAAAUGAAGUCCUUGGCCGGAUACGAUGCAUUUCCUUGCAUUUUUCAGCACCUGCUGGAAGCAGACCUGAAGGGCUAUCUCAGUAUCCACUGGGUCAGGGAUCGUCUAGUGGGAACUCACACCGUCAAAUGAGCUCCAAUAAGAGGGACUACACGAAGACAAUUCACGCUUCUCGUACAGAAGAUGCUCGUUUCAGUCAUGUGUCCUCUAAUAAGGAAUAUUUUCCAUCUGAGUCAAUGAAUGCAACUGUAAAUCUAGUGAGGCAGAAGCUUGAUAAGGCUGUGGCUGUGCUAGCAGCAGAUGGUAGGCAGAUAGUCUCAAGAGCAAAGUCAGAGGCACCUAAUUAUGAGAAGUGGGAAUUACUGAGACUUUUGAUUCCAUACGAUGUAUAUCUUCAGAACUGGAAGUUAAAGCUGUUUCCACCAGGAUUUACAGAGAACCCAUGCCUGUGAAAGAAUUAGCUGAUCAUGUAUUCGUGUAGCUAGCUAUGUUCAUCUGUCUACACUCUACUGGUGUCUCACAUAAGGGAGAUUGAGAAGUUGAAGCUUUCUGAGCUGAGCUGACCUGCAGGGAAGGCAUCGUUGAGGUUGCCAUGAUGUAUGUCCAAUUUUUUUCCCAUGGUACAUUAGUAUUGCAAGUUCCCACUUCAGAUCUGUCACCUAAAUACUUCUCCUACGAUUAUCCUAAAAGCUUGUUAGUUAUUAUGUGCUAGUAUGUGCUGAAGCAUGACAAUGUUAGCUAUGUUGUAAUAUUUAAUGACUAUGGAAUUUUCCUUAUGACGGAACCAUGCUGUAGUUAGUCUAUUAGUCAUUCCUGUGCAUACCCCUUUUGAUGUUUACAAUCCUCAGCAUCAUUAUUUUACUUUUACAAGCAGUAGUGGUUGCAGUACUCUAUUACAAGUUGGUGUGGCGAUAGGCUUGCAUAGUGCUUACAUGUUUUCUUAUCACGGAUUCUUGUGAUUUGUGAGUUGGGCAGGUGUCCUGUCAAGUAAUACCUUUUUCUGCGUGCGCGGUGAACUGACUGGUUUAGACAAUGGAAACUAAUUAACUAGUCUGGUUCUUUUUUUGUUGACAACUAACUAGCUUGGUUGUCAGUCACGCUGGUUCUCACAACACUUUUUUUUUUCUCUAUAUGGAGAAUUUACGGUGUGCACCAUGAAGCGAAGACAAAUCUAUUGAGCUGGAACUGAGCUGGGUAUGCCAUGAAUCUAGCCACCAGCACGAGAAGGUUCCAGGCGAUCUUGUGAAGCAGGGCAAGGCAGCGCUUGAGGAGAUGGACGCUGACUAAGAAGAGUCGGCCAAUUAUUCUCUGAAGGUUUUACAUUUCCUUCCACGCGUGGUGUAACAGAUACAUGACUGGUUCAUGAAUUUCGUUUCGGCGCUAAAAACUACCACCUCAGGGCUCAGGAUGUUGUUGCCUUUGCCCAGUCGAGAGGUAGCAAGCAGGGCUCGUGCUGUUUGGUGUUCUAGCGGAGCGUAUUCUGCUUGCUGUUUUUUUUCCUAAAAAAAAGUAUUCUGCUUGCGGUUCGGUCACACAUUGAUCUGAAUCUAUUGAACUCUGAAUGACCUUGAAAUCCAACGAGUAGUACUAUCCUACCAUAUCCA